UCGAAAUCGUGCGAGAGAUUGUGAAUUUACUCCUAAUCCAUGACUGUGCACGUCCCAAUUCAAGUGAAAUCCCCGAUAAAUGAAUGUCUGGAUCUUGAUGAGAAUAUAUCUACAUCAUAUCAGAAUGAAAAUCCAGAACUCCUUAUUAAGGUUUGGACUAUCCUUCUUCUUUCGAGCUACUCAUUUGGAGUAUGAAUUAGAUCCAAAAUCUAAUUUGACAAAACUUUUAUCAUAGAUUAACUAUGAAUCUAAUUCCAAAUUUUUUUAUAGUGAAUAAAAACUGUAAUAAUUCAUGUGAAAUUGGGUGGAAAUGUCACUGCGAAGGGAACAAAUAUAAAAAAGAUUAAAGCACUCAACUAAAAUUAAUGAAAAAGUAAAUAAAUUUAUUUUUAAUUAAUUAAAUUUUAAAUAAUUAAUUUUUGGGAAUAAGGAUUUCCGUUGCCGUAACUUUCAUGGAUACACAAGACUUCACCUACUGCAAGGUCACGAAAUUAAAUUAAUAAUUAAUUAACUAACCAAACAAUUAGGAGCAUCAGAUUAAAAUAAUUUAUUUGAUUAAAUAUGUGUCAUAAUCAUAGCCAGCCAGGUGGUGUAAAUAAUUGAAAAUUAGUUUUCAAGUGAAAGAGUUAUCAUAUUAUUAUAGAAAGCCACCAAUUAUUAGCAUGUUACUUUAUUGUAUCAAUAGCGUAUGGAUCUCACCCUUUUCUUAUUUAAUAAUACCUUACCAUUAUCUAUCGUGAUUUUUAAAAUAUCUCAAAUUAUUUAUUAUUUUAAAAUUAAAAUUAACUUUUUUUACUUUAUUCUUAAUAAUAAUUAUUUUGAUCAAGACUAUAAAUACUUUAAUUAUGAAAUGAUGACGCACGAACAAAAUAAGCUCUAAACAAAGAGAAACAAUAUCAUAAUAUAUAAAUAAAAGUAAGAAUUCAAAAACCUUUCUAAGUAAUUAAAUUUUUAAGAGACAGUAAAAAAUAUAUGACCAAUAAUUUGAAAUGGAGAAAAUAAGUUAUCCUUUAUACUAAUGGUAUAACAAAUAUCCAUAGAGUUAUGGGAUAUCUUGAGAAACCGAAAAAAAAAUAUUCAUAGAGUUAUGUCACUUAAAAAAUAAUUUUAAAUAAAUAUUUAUCUUGAACAUCAUUUAGCAACUUGGUUACAGAAACAACUAACUUUCCAUUAUAGAUUACUAUUUCAUUUGUACUUUGUUAGUAUAUUUAACUUAAAUCUUUGGGUAUUUAUUCAAUAAUAAUACAUUACUUUACUAUUAUAUUAAGCAUGAGUAGCAGGUAGCUGAAGCAAAUAGCUGACGAUUGCUAUGUCUGCUUUAAUUAAGGGUAUGUUUGUUUCAUAUUUUUAUUUUAAUUUAAUUAUUUUAUUUUUAGUUUUAACUUGUUAUAUUUAAAAAUUGUGUACAAAAAUAUUAUAAAUUAUAAUAAUUAAUAAUUUAAAUUAUUUACAGAGACAUAAAAAUUUUCAGUUGACUAGAAAUUCUGUCAGUGCAACAUAAAUUGAGAUAUUAUUUAAAAAUUACGUGAAACAUAAUAUAAAUCACAAUAAUACAAUAUAAAUUGGGAUACAUUAUUUAAAAAAUUCAUGAAAAAUAAUAAAAAUCACAAUAGUUAUCAAACUAAAAUAAUUGAAAGAUCUAUAUAAAAUUUGCUUGACUGUUUAAGUUCUACCAAUGUCAUAUAAAUUGGGAUAGAUAGAGUAUUACUUGAAAAUUACGUAGAAAAUCGUAUUAAUCAUAACAUAAUUAACAAAUUAAAAUAUCUAAAACUAUAUAAUAAAUUUGAUUGUCUUUCUCAAAUAUUUCAUCAGUGUCAUAUAAAUUGGGGGAAAAAAAAAUAGCAUAUAGUAUUUGAAAAUUAUAUAAAAACACUAAUAAAUUACUUCACCCGUCCCAAAUUUUCUAAUUUGAUUUCUCAUUUUAUUUGUCUUUUUUCAUUAAUCAAGAAGAGACAAAAAAAAUUUUCAUGUUUUACCCUUUACAUUAAUUAUUUUUCCUUAAAUUAAAAUGUAAAUAACAUUUAACCACAAGGAUUGGUGUGGUGGUUAAGCACCUCACCCCUUAAGUAAGAGUUUGAGGGUUGGAUUCCUACCUCUGGCGAAUGGAGUAAACUCUGUGGCCAGUUCCCUACCGCUUAGUGCGCUGAUCGAAGGAACGGAAGAUUAGUCUCACGGCUGCCGACUGUGGGGAUACGUCGGAAAACCAAAAAGAAAAAAAAUGUAAACAUCAUUUAAUAGGGGUACUAUGGUAAAUUAGUCAUGUUAUUAAUUAUUUUUCUUAAUCAAUAUGUCAUCUCAAUUUUAGACGGAUAAUUUGGAACGAAGAAAGCAAUAACUAAUAACGUAAAAUAUUUUGAAAUAUACAAAAAAAAUUGAUUGACUUUUUAAAUUACAUGUAUAUCACAUAAAUUAAGAUCAAAAAUAAUAUAUAUUGGACAUAUAUUAGCACGGACUCUAAUAUCUAGCAAUAAGACAAGAAGUGAGAAGGAGAUAUUUAUAUUAAUAACGAAUAAAUGACUAAUAUAAGAGUCUAUCUUCAGUCUUUUUUUAAGGAGACUUUUGUAAUUUGCAAAUUUACUAAUUAUAGAAUAAGAUGGUUAUAGGUUCCAAUUAAUGUGCUUGUUUAUUAAGCAAAUCAUGAAUUUUUUACUGUCAUCUUAUACUUAGUCAUUUUCAAUUAGGUAAUGGCGGCACAGCGUCUAUUAUUAUUGUAUUUAUAUACCACCAAAAUGGGAGAAACAUAUAGUUGUGUCAUGCAUCGCAUUAAUUUUGUACUGGCAAAUUAAGACAUUUCUAAAUUUUCAAGCAUUUAUUAGUUUCAUAUUUAUUUAUAUGAAUACUUUCUAGAAUUUUUCAAAUUAGAUCUAUUUACUUUUUGUUCAAAUGUAUAUCAUAUUGUGUGUGAAAUGGACAGGUGUGAACUAUUUUACUUGUAUAAUUUCAAAGGAUCUCAAGAAAAUCUAAUCGACCAUUGACUUAUUCCAAGACUUGGUUAAUGUUUAAGGAUUGCAAAUCAAUGAGUUGUAUGAUCUUCGAGAAGCGAUUAGACAGAACACACUUUAUAUGUUUACGGCUCACGGAAAAAAAUCACGUUUUGCAACUCAAAGAUUGCUUCGAAGAAGUUAUAAAUUAGAAAUCAAAAAUUGAUUCAUGCAUGAGUUUAGGUUUUUGCACGAAAUUGUAGGGCACAAUUAAUUGAAAAGCUACUACAAAAUGCUGCGUAUAUUUGCUCUCAAGCACAAAUGUUGGUUGCAACACAAAAUAUUACAUGCAAUUCUACCUUGAUCGAACUUACCAUGUUUUAACAUAAAUUUUUUUUUUAAUUAGGGAUGAAAGUUCUACCUAAUGAGAGAUUACAAAACUCUUAUUAGAGAGAACUGGACUUCUUAAUUUGACUUUGACUCAUAAUUACAUGUUUGGAAUGAAAUUUUUGAAGGUUUUUUGUUAUUUAUACUAAAGGUUUUAUUUUGUUCUUCAUUCCCUACAAGAAAUCAGUCUCUACUCUCUAGUGGCUACUAAAGGUGCCACAAAUAUUUGCUUAGCUCGUAUCUAUUUGUGGCGACUAAAGUUAAGCUGUCACCUUAAAAUGAUGUUAGGUUUUUUGACCUGAUUUUCUUAUCAAAAUUAAGUUUUACUUUUUUUUGAAAAAAAAAUAAAAGUAAUCAUAAUUACUUUUACUUUUUUUGAAAGAAAAAUAUAAAACUUUUUCAUAUUUGGCUAACCUCUUUCUUGGAGGAAAGGUUUUGGACAUCUAUAAAUAGAUGAUGCCUCUUCUCAUACCAUAAUACAAUAACAUCCACAAUGUAGUCUUUAAAGAAUUUUAGGAGAGAUUUCUCUCAAUAAAUUUUAAGUUUUUUUAUUUAGUUUUCAAUAUGUAGGCUUCUUGGCCAAUCAUAUCAAAUAAUAUGUGUUUUUAUUACAAUUUUUUUUGUCGUCUAAUUUAUCGUCUCAUAGUUUGCAACUAGAAGCUUCCGCAUGAUGUCCUCUCGAUUUCGAACCCAACAAGUGGUAUCAAAGUUUACGGUUUAAAGGCCCAAUGGUGCGGUGAGACAAGAUUAUAUAGGUUCAAAGCGGU
rnacentral:lncRNA from 1 species